UGUUGGUUAAAUCCCCUCCUCUACUAC
rnacentral:tRNA from 2 species